rnacentral:rRNA from 1 species
GUUGUAUAGUCAAGUAAUUAAGUGCAUGUGGUGGAUGCCUUGGCAGUCAGAGGCGAUGAAAGACGUGAUAGCCUGCGAAAAGCUCCGGGGAGGCGGCAAAUAUCCUUUGAUCCGGAGAUGUCUGAAUGGGGGAACCCACCUACUUUAAGGUAGGUAUUGCAACAUGAAUACAUAGUGUUGCAAGGCGAACGAGGGGAAGUGAAACAUCUCAGUACCCUUAGGAAAAGAAAUCAAUUGAGAUUCCCUCAGUAGCGGCGAGCGAACGGGGAUCAGCCCAUUAAGUUAUGUGUGUUUUAGUGGAACGCUCUGGGAAGUGCGAACGUAGAGGGUGAUAUUCCCGUACACGAAAGGGCACACAUAAUGAUGACGAGUAGGGCGAGGCACGUGAAACCUUGUCUGAAUAUGGGGGGACCAUCCUCCAAGGCUAAAUACUCCUGACUGACCGAUAGUGAACCAGUACCGUGAGGGAAAGGCGAAAAGAACCCCUGUGAGGGGAGUGAAAUAGAUCCUGAAACCGCAUGCAUACAAGCAGUGGGAGCACCUUCGUGGUGUGACUGCGUACCUUUUGUAUAAUGGGUCAGCGACUUAUAUUCAGUAGCGAGGUUAACCGUAUAGGGGAGCCGUAGAGAAAUCGAGUCUUAAUAGGGCGUUUAGUUGCUGGGUAUAGACCCGAAACCAGGCGAUCUAUCCAUGAGCAGGUUGAAGGUUGGGUAACACUAACUGGAGGACCGAACCCACUGUCGUUGAAAAGCCAGGGGAUGACUUGUGGAUAGGGGUGAAAGGCUAAUCAAGCCUGGUGAUAGCUGGUUCUCCCCGAAAGCUAUUUAGGUAGCGCCUCGGACGAAUACCAUAGGGGGUAGAGCACUGUUUCGGCUAGGGGGUCAUCCCGACUUACCAAACCGAUGCAAACUCCGAAUACCUAUGAGUACUAUCCGGGAGACAGACUGCGGGUGCUAACGUCCGUAGUCAAGAGGAAAACAAUCCAGACCGCCAGCUAAGGCCCCAAAAUCAUAGUUAAGUGGGAAACGAUGUGGGAAGGCAUAGACAGCUAGGAGGUUGGCUUAGAAGCAGCCACCCUUUAAAGAAAGCGUAAUAGCUCACUAGUCGAGUCGGCCUGCGCGGAAGAUGUAACGGGGCUAAAACUAUGUGCCGAAGCUGCGGAUGUAUACUUUGUAUACGUGGUAGGGGAGCGUUCUGUAAGCCGAUGAAGGUGUGUUGAGAAGCAUGCUGGAGGUAUCAGAAGUGCGAAUGCUGACGUGAGUAACGACAAAACGGGUGAAAAACCCGUUCGCCGAAAGACCAAGGGUUCCAGUCCAACGUUAAUCGGGGCUGGGUGAGUCGACCCCUAAGGCGAGGCCGAAAGGCGUAGUCGAUGGGAAAAUGGUUAAUAUUCCAUUACUUCUGUGUAAUGCGAUGAGAGGACGGAGAAGGCUAAAUCAGCCUGGCGUUGGUUGUCCAGGUGAAAGGAUGUAGGCAUGUAUCUUAGGCAAAUCCGGGGUACUCUAUGCUGAGAUCUGAUAGCAAGCUGUACUUGUACAGCGAAGUGGUUGAUGCCAUGCUUCCAGGAAAAGUCUCUAAGCUUCAGUUACACAGGAAUCGUACCCGAAACCGACACAGGUGGUCAGGUCGAGUAGACCAAGGCGCUUGAGAGAACUCUGCUGAAGGAACUAGGCAAAAUGGUACCGUAACUUCGGGAGAAGGUACGCUGUUGUUGGUGAUGGAACUCGCUUCCUGAGCUGACGACAGCCGCAGAAACCAGGCCGCUGCAACUGUUUAUUAAAAACAUAGCACUCUGCAAACACGAAAGUGGACGUAUAGGGUGUGAUGCCUGCCCGGUGCUGGAAGGUUAAUUGAUGGGGUUAGCGUAAGCGAAGCUCUUGAUCGAAGCCCCAGUAAACGGCGGCCGUAACUAUAACGGUCCUAAGGUAGCGAAAUUCCUUGUCGGGUAAGUUCCGACCUGCACGAAUGGCAUAAUGAUGGCGGCGCUGUCUCCAGCAGAGGCUCAGUGAAAUCGAAAUCGCUGUGAAGAUGCAGUGUACCCGCGGCUAGACGGAAAGACCCCGUGAACCUUUACUGCAGCUUGACACUGAACUUUGACCUUACUUGUGUAGGAUAGGUGGGAGGCUUUGAAGCUGGAACGAUAGUUCCAGUGGAGCCGUCCUUGAAAUACCACCCUGGUAAUGUUGAGGUUCUAACUCUGUCCCGUGAUCCGGGACGAGGACCGUGUCUGGUGGGUAGUUUGACUGGGGCGGUCUCCUCCUAAAGAGUAACGGAGGAGUACGAAGGUGCGCUCAGCGUGGUCGGAAAUCACGCGUAGAGUAUAAAGGCAAAAGCGCGCUUAACUGCGAGACCCACAAGUCGAGCAGGUACGAAAGUAGGUCUUAGUGAUCCGGUGGUUCUGUAUGGAAGGGCCAUCGCUCAACGGAUAAAAGGUACUCUGGGGAUAACAGGCUGAUACCGCCCAAGAGUUCAUAUCGACGGCGGUGUUUGGCACCUCGAUGUCGGCUCAUCUCAUCCUGGGGCUGAAGCAGGUCCCAAGGGUAUGGCUGUUCGCCAUUUAAAGAGGUACGCGAGCUGGGUUUAGAACGUCGUGAGACAGUUCGGUCCCUAUCUACCGUGGGCGCUGGAAAUUUGAGAGGAUCUGCUCCUAGUACGAGAGGACCAGAGUGGACGAACCUCUGGUGUACCGGUUGUGACGCCAGUCGCAUCGCCGGGUAGCUAUGUUCGGAAGGGAUAACCGCUGAAAGCAUCUAAGCGGGAAGCCUACCUCAAGAUAAGAUUUCCCUAGGACUUUAUGUCCUCUAAAGAGCCGUUCGAGACUAGGACGUUGAUAGGUUGGAUGUGGAAGCAUAGUGAUAUGUGAAGCUGACCAAUACUAAUUGCUCGUGAGGCUUGACUAUACAACACCCAAGCAGUUG